rnacentral:rRNA from 1 species
GAUGAACGCUAGCUACAGGCUUAACACAUGCAAGUCGAGGGGUAACGAAAGGGAAGCUUGCUUUCCUUGUCGACGACCGGCGCACGGGUGAGUAACGCGUAUCCAACCUGCCCACAACUAAGGAAUAACCUUGCGAAAGUAAGACUAAUACCUUAUAAUUUCCUCUGAAGGCAUCUGACGAGGAAUAAAGAUUUAUCGGUUAUGGAUGGGGAUGCGUCUGAUUAGCUUGUUGGCGGGGUAACGGCCCACCAAGGCAACGAUCAGUAGGGGUUCUGAGAGGAAGGUCCCCCACAUUGGAACUGAGACACGGUCCAAACUCCUACGGGAGGCAGCAGUGAGGAAUAUUGGUCAAUGGGCGAGAGCCUGAACCAGCCAAGUAGCGUGCAGGAAGACGGCCCUAUGGGUUGUAAACUGCUUUUAUACAGGAAUAAAGUUAGCCACGUGUGGUUAUUUGUAGGUACUGUAUGAAUAAGGACCGGCUAAUUCCGUG